rnacentral:rRNA from 1 species
AACGAACGCUGGCGGCAGGCUUAACACAUGCAAGUCGAGCGCCCCGCCAGGGGGGCGGCGGACGGGUGGGUAGCGCGUGGGGACGGACCCUUAUCUUCGGGAGAGCUCCGGGAUACGGGAAGUAAUACCGAAGGUGCCCUUUGGUGGAAAGAUUUAUCGGCUAAGGAUCGGCCCGCGUUGGAUUAGCUAGUUGGUGGGGUGAAGGCCUACGAAGGCGACGAUCCAUAGCUGGUCUGAGAGGAUGAUCAGCCACAUUGGGACUGAGACACGGCCCAAACUCCUACGGGAAGCAGCAGUGGGGAAUAUUGGACAAUCGGCGCAAGCAUGAUCCAGCCAGGCCGCGUGAGUGAUGAAGGCGUUAGGGUUGUAAAGCUCUUUCACCCGAGGAGGUAAUGACGGUAUCCGAAGAAGAAGCCCCGGCUAACUUCGUG